UUUCACUCCCAAAUCCCUCUCUCCUAUGAAGGAGGUUUUAGAAAUGAAGUGAAGGACUUCUGUUCUCAGGUCAGUCAGGUUGUCUUUAUGCUGUGUGCAUUAACACGACUUACUACCGUUAGCUUAAAGACACUAAACGCCAGGCCGAGUCGACUCUUCGGUGCUUUUACAAAACAUGGUGUGAUUGUUACGCAGAGCGACUGAUGACAAUUAUUCUGUCUACAAACACUGAAAACUGUUAAAGCUGUGAUUUAUGUUUAUUGUGUAACAUUCUGAUGGAGUCUGUCAGUGGUGUGUGUUAUAUGCUGUGUCUUUGUUGUGUCUUUUACUCGACACAGUAAACGUCUCUGUACAUUAUUACACUGCAGUGAGGUUACACACAGGUGCAUUGUGGGAAAGAAGCUGACUGAUGGAAGUGGAAUCUCACUUACUGAUCAGACUCCUUCACAUAAACAUGAUCUGAAAAUCAUCUUUAUGUUUCUAUUUGAUUCCUGGAUUAAAAUGUAAUAUAUGUGAUAAGUUAAUAAAAUAUCAGCUUUUA